GACGAACGCUGGCGGCGUGCUUAACACAUGCAAGUAGAGCGGUAAGGCCCUUUCGGGGGUACACGAGCGGCGAACGGGUGAGUAACACGUGGGUGACCUGCCCUCAGCUCUGGGAUAAGCCUGGGAAACCGGGUCUAAUACUGGAUAUGACUCCAUGACGCAUGUUGUGGGGUGGAAAGCCUUGUGCGGCUGAGGAUGGGCCCGCGGCCUAUCAGCUUGUUGGUGGGGUGAGGCCUACCAAGGCGACGACGGGUAGCCGGCCUGAGAGGGCGACCGGCCACACUGGGACUGAGACACGGCCCAGACUCCUACGGGAGGCAGCAGUGGGGAAUCUUGCGCAAUGGGCGAAAGCCUGACGCAGCGACGCCGCGUGAGGGAUGACGGCCUGGUGUAAC
rnacentral:rRNA from 1 species